rnacentral:rRNA from 1 species
AUGCACCUACGGGAGGCAGCAGUAGGGAAUCUUCCACAAUGGACGAAAGUCUGAUGGAGCAACGCCGCGUGAGUGAAGAAGGGUUUCGGCUCGUAAAGCUCUGUUGGUAGUGGAGCAAGAUAGAGGUAGUAACUGGCCUUUAUUUUACGGUAAUUACUUAGAAAGUCACGGCUAACUACGUGGCAGCAGCCGCGGUAAUACGUAGGUGGCAAGCGUUGUCCGGAUUUUUUGGGCGUUAAGCGAGUGCAGGCGGUU